rnacentral:lncRNA from 11 species
AUGUGGGACAAGAUCAUUGCUCUGAAAUGGGAGAAGCAGAUCAGGAAACGCAGAAAGGAGACAGACAGGGAGAGAACAUCAGCUUACUCGCAGUAUGAAUGUAAUCUGAAAUCAAUGUCAAUAGACUUGAAUCAGUUCAAGGAACUGGACACUUAUGCUUCAAAGGAGGUAAAUGUCAGAGACAGCGUGGAAAACCUGGUGAAAGUCUUGCUCCAAAAAGCCCACACUGAUCUGGAGAAAGUCAGAGCCAUUUGGAUGUGGAUUUGCCAUCAUAUUGGUAGGUGCCAAUUUUUACCAUGUUGGAGGUUUCAUACCUUUUACAACCAAAAAAUAGGAUAGUGCUCCACAUAGAAGAAGGACAUCUCCAUUAAGGUGGCUGGCAAUAAAACAAUGCUAAUUACAAACAAAACAAAGACAUUAAAGUAUAAAUCUAAAAUGUAAAAAAGCAAUUACUAUUAAACAUUAAAUAUAUUAAAAUCCAAACCUUAAAACAGAAUGGUAUAGCAUUAAAAGUCCAAUCUUUGUCCAUUUGUAAAAAUCCAAAUGGGAAGCAGCACAGUUGAUUACACAGCCCUGAAGUAGAGACGCAUUGGCAUCCAGAUGGGCCAAGACAACAUCAGCUUGCUGGGCCAUUCCUUUGUCAACAUGUAUCUGUCAUCACUUCUUAGCAGCUAUGGACUUUCUGCAAGCACCUACCUGUCACCUGCUGCAUCAGCUCUCUUAGCAUCAUAUCCUACCUGGAGGAUAUUCUCAACCAUAUAUUUCAGUCCUACCCGCCUGUGCAACCAGCAAGUAGGGGUAGGGCUACUCCUGCCUUAGAGGUCAUGUGCAUGCCGCAUACUGACCUCGGCAGACGUGACUGUGAUGGUUGGGAACAUGCAGAUCACUCCAUGGCCAGCAAGAAGCUGCAGCUGUGACAUGGAAAUGGUUCAUUUCUUCUCCCUGUGCUAGUCAGAGUAUGGAAAAAAUGAAGGCAACAAUAUCAAUAUCCAAAUAUACCUGAUCCAGCUGUUCAGAUGGCAGUAGAUGACUACAGCAUUUCCUCCAAAAUAUGGAGCUAAGCUAGGUUAAAGGGCAGGGGGGUGGGGUCAGAUACUUACUCGAAGUCCCUGUGCAUUAUGAAAACUGCCAGCCCAACUGACCAUUGCAGGGCAAGAUUUGGAGUGACUAUACUAGUGUAAACGAGCUCUCAGUUGGCUUCCAUUUUAUUUUCUAUCCACUGGCAACCAAAAAUGUUGUCAUUCAGACAUGUUUGCAUUUCAGUUAAAUGGCUGUUGUAAUGGGUUUAAUUAGAUGCUUGCUGUUAUUUAUACUGACAUAUUUUAAAUAUGGUGUUAUCUUUUUAAUAUAUAUUUAAAUUGAAAAUAAAAAAAUCUGUAAUCCCAAUCAGGCAGUUGUAAAUUCUUUAGAUUUUUUUUUUUUGGCUCCAUGCUCUGCGGUAACAUUUCACUUAUGUCUCUUUUCAGAAUAUGAUGU